rnacentral:rRNA from 1 species
GACGAACGCUGGCGGCGUGCUUAACACAUGCAAGUCGAACGGAAAGGCCCUGCUUUUGUGGGGUGCUCGAGUGGCGAACGGGUGAGUAACACGUGAGUAACCUGCCCUUGACUUUGGGAUAACUUCAGGAAACUGGGGCUAAUACCGGAUAGGAGCUCCUGCUGCAUGGUGGGGGUUGGAAAGUUUCGGCGGUUGGGGAUGGACUCGCGGCUUAUCAGCUUGUUGGUGGGGUAGUGGCUUACCAAGGCUUUGACGGGUAGCCGGCCUGAGAGGGUGAACGGCCACAUUGGGACUGAGGUACGGACCAGACUGCUACGGGAGGCAGUAGUGGGGAAUAUUGCACAAUGGGGGGAAGCCUGAUGCAGCAACGCCGCGUGCGGGAUGACGGGCUUCGGGUUGUAAACCGCUUUCGCCUGUGACGAAGCGUGAGUGACGGUAAUGGGUAAAGAAGCACCGGCUAACUACGUG